rnacentral:rRNA from 1 species
CCCUUAGAUGUUCUGGGCCGCACGCGCGCUACACUGAUGCAUUCAACAAGCCUAGCCUUGACCGAGAGGUCCGGGUAAUCUUUGAGACUGCAUCGUGAUGGGGCUAGAUUAUUGCAAUUAUUAAUCUUCAACGAGGAAUGCCUAGUAAGCGUGAUUCAUCAAAUCGCGUUGAUUACGUCCCUGCCCUUUGUACACACCGCCCGUCGCUCCUACCGAUUGAAUGUGUUGGUGAGGAGCUCGGAUUGGCAGCAGUUGGUGGUUCGCCACCGGCUAUUGCUGAGAAGUCCUCCAAACCGCCCCAUUUAGAGGAAGGAGAAGUCGUAACA